GCAAGGAAUUUUGCGCAAUGGGCGAAAGCCUGACGCAGCAACGCCGCGUGGAGGAUGAAGGCCUUCGGGUUGUAAACUCCUUUUGCUGGGGAAGAAGAUCUGACGGUACCCAGCGAAUAAGCCUCGGCUAACUACGUGCCAGCAGCCGCGGUAAUACGUAGGAGGCAAGCGUUGUCCGGAUUUACUGGGCAUAAAGAGCGCGCAGGCGGUCUGUUAAGUCAGAUGUGAAAUCUCCCGGCUCAACUGGGAGGGGGCAUCUGAUACUAGCGGGCUUGAGGAGAGUAGAGGGAAGCGGAAUUCCCGGUGUAGUGGUGAAAUGCGUAGAUAUCGGGAGGAACACCAGUGGCGAAGGCGGCUUCCUAGGCUCUACCUGACGCUGAGGCGCAAAAGCGUGGGUAGCAAACCGGAUUAGAUACCCUUGUAGUCC
rnacentral:rRNA from 1 species